rnacentral:lncRNA from 1 species
UUUUUUUUUUUUUUUUUUUUUUUUGAGAUGGAGCCUUGCUCGGUUGCGCAGGCUGGAGUGCAGUAGCAUGGUCUCGGCUCGCUGCAAUCUCCGCCUCCCAGGUUCAAGCAAUUCUCCUGCCUUGGCCUCCAGAGUAGCUGGAAUUACAGGUGCCUGCCACCAUACCUGGCAAAUUUUUUGUAUUUUUAGUAGAGAGGGGGGUUUCACCAUGUUGGCCAGGCUGGUCUCGAACUCCUGACCUCGUGACCCACCCACCUCAGCCUCCCAAAGUGCUGGGAUUACAAGCAUGAGCCACCACACCCAGCCUCCCUUGGUAACUUUUACCAUUAGUAACAGAUUGCAGCACAGCUAUGGCUCCCCCAGGAAUCAAAGGUUCCUCAUCCCACACCCUUUACCUUUUUUCUUCGCAAACCAUAUGCUUCUGUGAGCCAGGGCCUUUCUAGCAAAUCUCACGUUUUUGACACCAAAAGCAGCAAGGGUUUUCCCCAUCGCAUUUCUGAUGCCACGUGUGUGGUGUCUUUUCCAACACUAUUUCUCCAAGUCUCAUAUACCGACUGGGUGUCCUGCAAUUAAUUUUACCCAAUUCUGGGACUAUCUUCCUGGAAAUGGCAGGAGAUCCCAAAAGUUAAGAGCUCAGUCCCACAGACUGUCCCCACUUCACCACGCCAGUCACGAGUCCUGGGUCUCCUGUACUUUUGACCAACUAACUGGCUAUAAAUUGAGGUUUCCCAUGACCCCUCCUCAGCUUUGGUAAUUUGUUAGAACGACUCAUAGAACUCAGGAACACGCUUUACUAUCACCAACUUUGUGUACAAAGCUUAGGACACAGCUCAGGAACAGCCAGAUGGAAGAGAUGCAGAGGCAAGGUAUGGGGUGGUGCUGAGGCUUCACACCCUCUCCAGGUGCUCCACCCUCCCAGCAGCUCCAGGUGUUCACCUACCAAUAAGCUGUCUGAACCCCACUGUUUAGGGGGUUUUAUGGAGGCUACCUUAUGUAGGUGUGAGUGAUUAAAUCAUUGGUCAGUAGUAAGCACAACCUCCAGCCCCUCUCCUUUCCACAAAGACCAC